CUCAUACUCCCUCCGUUCGGAAUUACUUGUCGCAGAAAUGGAUGUAUCUAGACGUAUUUUAGUUCUAGAUACAUCCAUUUUCGAGACAAGUAAUUCCGAACGAAGGAAGUACAUU
rfam:Triticum aestivum genome assembly, contig: Triticum_aestivum_CS42_TGACv1_scaffold_130430_2BL